UACGUAGGUGGCAAGCGUUAUCCGGAAUUAUUGGGCGUAAAGCGCGCGUAGGCGGUUUUUUAAGUCUGAUGUGAAAGCCCACGGCUCAACCGUGGAGGGUCAUUGGAAACUGGAAAACUUGAGUGCAGAAGAGGAAAGUGGAAUUCCAUGUGUAGCGGUGAAAUGCGCAGAGAUAUGGAGGAACACCAGUGGCGAAGGCGACUUUCUGGUCUGUAACUGACGCUGAUGUGCGAAAGCGUGGGGAUCAAACAGGAUUAGAUACCCUGGUAGUCCACGCCGUAAACGAUGAGUGCUAAGUGUUAGGGGGUUUCCGCCCCUUAGUGCUGCAGCUAACGCAUUAAGCACUCCGCCUGGGGAGUACGACCGCAAGGUUGAAACUC
rnacentral:rRNA from 1 species